CAGUCGUACGCUUCUUUUUCACCGGAGCUUGCUCCACCGGAAAAAGAAGAGUGGCGAACGGGUGAGUAACACGUGGGUAACCUGCCCAUCAGAAGGGGAUAACACUUGGAAACAGGUGCUAAUACCGUAUAACAAUCGAAACCGCAUGGUUUUGAUUUGAAAGGCGCUUUCGGGUGUCGCUGAUGGAUGGACCCGCGGUGCAUUAGCUAGUUGGUGAGGUAACGGCUCACCAAGGCUACGAUGCAUAGCCGACCUGAGAGGGUGAUCGGCCACAUUGGGACUGAGACACGGCCCAAACUCCUACGGGAGGCAGCAGUAGGGAAUCUUCGGCAAUGGACGAAAGUCUGACCGAGCAACGCCGCGUGAGUGAAGAAGGUUUUCGGAUCGUAAAACUCUGUUGUUAGAGAAGAACAAGGAUGAGAGUAACUGUUCAUCCCUUGACGGUAUCUAACCAGAAAGCCACGGCUAACUACGUGCCAGCAGCCGCGGUAAUACGUAGGUGGCAAGCGUUGUCCGGAUUUAUUGGGCGUAAAGCGAGCGCAGGCGGUUUCUUAAGUCUGAUGUGAAAGCCCCCGGCUCAACCGGGGAGGGUCAUUGGAAACUGGGAGACUUGAGUGCAGAAGAGGAGAGUGGAAUUCCAUGUGUAGCGGUGAAAUGCGUAGAUAUAUGGAGGAACACCAGUGGCGAAGGCGGCUCUCUGGUCUGUAACUGACGCUGAGGCUCGAAAGCGUGGGGAGCAAACAGGAUUAGAUACCCUGGUAGUCCACGCCGUAAACGAUGAGUGCUAAGUGUUGGAGGGUUUCCGCCCUUCAGUGCUGCAGCUAACGCAUUAAGCACUCCGCCUGGGGAGUACGACCGCAAGGUUGAAACUCAAAGGAAUUGACGGGGGCCCGCACAAGCGGUGGAGCAUGUGGUUUAAUUCGAAGCAACGCGAAGAACCUUACCAGGUCUUGACAUCCUUUGACCACUCUAGAGAUAGAGCUUCCCCUUCGGGGGCAAAGUGACAGGUGGUGCAUGGUUGUCGUCAGCUCGUGUCGUGAGAUGUUGGGUUAAGUCCCGCAACGAGCGCAACCCUUAUUGUUAGUUGCCAUCAUUCAGUUGGGCACUCUAGCAAGACUGCCGGUGACAAACCGGAGGAAGGUGGGGAUGACGUCAAAUCAUCAUGCCCCUUAUGACCUGGGCUACACACGUGCUACAAUGGGAAGUACAACGAGUCGCGAAGUCGCGAGGCUAAGCUAAUCUCUUAAAGCUUCUCUCAGUUCGGAUUGUAGGCUGCAACUCGCCUACAUGAAGCCGGAAUCGCUAGUAAUCGCGGAUCAGCACGCCGCGGUGAAUACGUUCCCGGGCCUUGUACACACCGCCCGUCACACCACGAGAGUUUUAACACCCGAAGUCGGUGAG
rnacentral:rRNA from 1 species